GCUGGGUUCAGAACGUCGUGAGACAGUUCGGUCCCUAUCCGGCGUGGGCGCAGGAUAUCUGAGAGGAGCUGUCCUUAGUACGAGAGGACCGGGAUGGACCGGCCGCUGGUGUAUCUGCUGGCUCACCAGGGCCAUGGCAGAGUAGCCAAGCCGGGACGGGAUAAACGCUGAAGGCAUCUAAGCGUGAAGCCCCCCUCAAGAUGAGAUAUCCCUACCGUAAGGUAGUAAGACCCCUUGAAGACGACGAGGUAGAUAGGGCAGGGGUGGAAGUGCAGUAAUGCAUGGAGCUGACUGCUACUAAUCGGUCGAGGGCAUGACCAAA
rnacentral:rRNA from 1 species